GUUAGUGGCGGACGGGUGAGUAACGCGUGAGAAUCUGCCCUCAGGAGGGGGAUAACGGUUGGAAACGACCGCUAAUACCCCAUAUGCCGCGAGGUGAAAUGAAUUUCGCCUGAGGAUGAGCUCGCGUCUGAUUAGCUAGUUGGUGGGGUAAGAGCCUACCAAGGCUUCGAUCAGUAGCUGGUCUGAGAGGAUGAUCAGCCACACUGGGACUGAGACACGGCCCAGACUCCUACGGGAGGCAGCAGUGGGGAAUUUUCCGCAAUGGGCGAAAGCCUGACGGAGCAACGCCGCGUGAGGGAUGAAGGCCUCUGGGCUGUAAACCUCUUUUAUCAAGGAAGAAGAUCUGACGGUACUUGAUGAAUAAGCCACGGCUAAUUCCGUGCCAGCAGCCGCGGUAAUACGGGAGUGGCAAGCGUUAUCCGGAAUUAUUGGGCGUAAAGCGUCCGCAGGCGGUCUUACAAGUCUGUCGUUAAAGCGUGGAGCUUAACUCCAUUUCGGCGAUGGAAACUGUAAGACUAGAGUGUGGUAGGGGCAGAGGGAAUUCCCGGUGUAGCGGUGAAAUGCGUAGAUAUCGGGAAGAACACCAGUGGCGAAGGCGCUCUGCUGGGCCAUAACUGACGCUCAUGGACGAAAGCUAGGGGAGCGAAAGGGAUUAGAUACCCCUGUAGUCCUAGCCGUAAACGAUGAACACUAGGUGUCGGGGGAAUCGACCCCCUCGGUGUCGUAGCCAACGCGUUAAGUGUUCCGCCUGGGGAGUACGCACGCAAGUGUGAAACUCAAAGGAAUUGACGGGGGCCCGCACAAGCGGUGGAGUAUGUGGUUUAAUUCGAUGCAACGCGAAGAACCUUACCAGGGUUUGACAUCCUGCGAAUCCCUUGGAAACUUGGGAGUGCCUUCGGGAGCGCAGUGACAGGUGGUGCAUGGCUGUCGUCAGCUCGUGUCGUGAGAUGUUGGGUUAAGUCCCGCAACGAGCGCAACCCACGUCUUUAGUUGCCAGCAUUUAGUUGGGCACUCUAGAGAGACCGCCGGUGAUAAACCGGAGGAAGGUGUGGAUGACGUCAAGUCAUCAUGCCCCUUACAUCCUGGGCUACACACGUACUACAAUGCUACGGACAAAGGGCAGCAAACUCGCGAGAGCUAGCCAAUCCCAUAAACCGUGGCUCAGUUCAGAUCGUAGGCUGCAACUCGCCUACGUGAAGGAGGAAUCGCUAGUAAUCGCAGGUCAGCAUACUGCGGUGAAUACGUUCCCGGGCUUGUACACACCGCCCGUCACACCAUGGAAGUUGGCCACGCCCGAAGUCGUUACUCCAACCCUUGUGGAGGAGGAUGCCGAAGGUGGGGCUGAUGACUGGGGUGAAGUCGUAACAAGGUAGCCGUACCGGAAGGUGCGGCUGGAUCACCUCCU
rnacentral:rRNA from 1 species